CCGAUUGAUUCUGUUAGCGGCCGAUAUGCUUAUCUUAAAGGCUAAACUAUGCAUGUCUAAGUUCAGAUAACUUGAAAUUCUAAACCCGGAAUGGCUCAUUAUAGUAGCUAUAAUGUAUUUGAUGUUAAUUUAUCUAACGUGGAUAACUGUGGUAAUUCUAGAGCUAUUACAUGCAUCAAAACCCAAACUAAAAAAGUGAGUUAGAAUGACUAAAUCAAUGGAGUUUGUAAAAGAGCACGUAAAAUAAUUGAUGAAUCUGAAUAUUUAUAGCUGAUCGCAUGGUCUACGUAUCCUACAUGUGUUUGACUCUUUAGUCCUCGAUUCCCAUUUUCGGUAUGAGGAGGUGGUGACGAAAAAUACGACGAAAAAUAACGAGACCAUUUUCUUUGAGGUCGGUUGUCGGAUACAAAAUGGAGUACAAUUUAAACCUGUUAAUAAAGACUGAUGAGAGAGCUAGUCUGAUGCCAGCAUCUGUGGUAAUUCCAUUUCUCAAAGUGCAUAUC
rnacentral:ncRNA from 1 species